CCUACGGGGGGCAGCAGUGGGGAAUAUUGGACAAUGGGCGCAAGCCUGAUCCAGCCACGCCGCGUGAGUGAUGAAGGCCUUCGGGUCGUAAAGCUCUGUGGGGAGGGACGAACCGCUGUCGGUUAAUACCCGGCAGCAUGACGGUACCUCCUUAGCAAGCACCGGCUAACUUCGUGCCAGCAGCCGCGGUAAUACGAAGGGUGCAAACGUUGGUCUGAAGUACUCGGAGUAAAGUUAGCGAGUGCGGCUUGAAAGCCCUCGGCUUAACCAAGGAAGUGCAUCCAAAACUGCUGAGCUUGAGUAGUUAAGAGGAUCGCGGAAUUCCCGGUGUAGAGGUGAAAUUCGUAGAUAUCGGGAGGAACACCAGUGGCGAAGGCGGCGAUCUGGGAACAUACUGACGCUGAGGUGCGAAAGCGUGGGGAGCAAACAGGAUUAGAUACCCCUGUAGUC
rnacentral:rRNA from 1 species